rnacentral:rRNA from 1 species
GACGAACGCUGGCGGCGUGCUUAACACAUGCAAGUCGAACGGAAAGGCCCUGCUUUUGUGGGGUGCUCGAGUGGCGAACGGGUGAGUAACACGUGAGUAACCUGCCCUUGACUUUGGGAUAACUUCAGGAAACUGGGGCUAAUACCGGAUAGGAGCUCCUGCUGCAUGGUGGGGGUUGGAAAGUUUCGGCGGUUGGGGAUGGACUCGCGGCUUAUCAGCUUGUUGGUGGGGUAGUGGCUUACCAAGGCUUUGACGGGUAGCCGGCCUGAGAGGGUGACCGGCCACAUUGGGACUGGGAUACGGCCCAGACUCCUACGGGAGGCAGCAGUGGGGAAUAUUGCACAAUGGGCGGAAGCAUGAUGCAGCAACGCCGCGUGCGGGAUGACGGCCUUCGGGUUGUAAACCGCUUUCGCCUGUGACGAAGCGUGAGUGACGGUAAUGGGUAAAGAAGCACCGGCUAACUACGUG